AGGUUCACCUAUCUCAACUGGUAUCAAAGCUUCUGCACCAUAAACCAUUGAAAAUGGUGUUUCUCCUGUACUUGUUUUUGUCGUCGUUCGAUAUACCCAUAACACCGCUGGUAAUACUUCAGGCCAAUUUCCUUUAGAUUCUUGUAACCUUUUCUUUAGGUUGUUGAUAAUUACUUUUUUGUAGACUCUGCUUGCCCAUUACCGACUGGAUGAUACAGUGUUGACGUAAUUCUUUUGAUUUGCCAACUUUGAAAGAAUUUUGUGAUUUGAGCCCCUAUAAAUUGUGAUCCAUUAUCACACACUAUCUCCUUUGUAACACCAAAGCGAAAAAUUAUAUUUCUCCAAAUGAAGUCCUUAACUUCUUUCUCUCGUACUUGUUUAAACGCUCCUGCUUCU
rnacentral:lncRNA from 1 species